GACGAACGCUGGCGGCGUGCCUAACACAUGCAAGGCGAACGGAAAGGGCCUGCUUUUGUGGGGUGCUCGAGUGGCGAGCGGGUGAGUAACACGUGAGUAACCUGCCCUUGACGUUGGGAUAAGUUCAGGAAACUGGGGCUAAGACCGGAUAGGAGCUCCUGCUGCAUGGUGGGGGGUGGGAAGUUGGGGCGGUGGGGGGUGGACUCGCGGUUUGUCAGCUUGUUGGUGGGGUAGUGGCUGAGCAAGGCUGUGCCGGGUAGCCGGCCUGUGAGGGUGACCGGCCACAUUGGGACUGAGAUACGGCCCAGACUCCUACGGGAGGCGGCAGUGGGGAAUAUUGCACAAUGGGCGGAAGCCUGAUGCAGCAACGCCGCGUGCGGGAUGACGGCCUUCGGGUUGUAAACCGCUUUCGCCUGUGACGAAGCGUGAGUGACGGUAAUGGGUAAAGAAGCACCGGCUAACUACGUGCCAGCCGCCGCGGUAA
rnacentral:rRNA from 1 species